UUUUCUCACAUUCUCACAUUUUACCCAAUUCUCCAUUUUUGAGGCCAUAAUUACUUUCAAAUUCUGAGGGGAAAAUUACGAAAAAAGGUUACUCAAAAAUUCUAAUUAGACGAAGGCGGCACUUAGGCGGUGGUGGCUGAUAGCGGUGGUGGCUGAUCUCAUUUUCAUCUUGCAUGUCCCUUCCUUGAGCUGAUUGCUCGAAUUUCUAUUCAAGCUGCACUGAGGGCUUUAAAAGAGGCUUAGAAGACUGGGUCUGAAUACGUAAAUCACAUGAGAAGGGUUUCAGGCAAGCAGUUUCUACAAAUAUGGUGUAUCAAAUUCGGAAUAUUGUUCCUAGUAGUGUGUUAGUGAAUACUGUUAAUUUGAUCCAGUGUUUGAUCAGACAAAGGAAGUUGUUUGUCAUCAACUGUUUAUCUGGUUAACAUUGCCAUCAUCAUCAUCUUUACUGGUGCUGGACUUUUCGGGUCCUUCUCUUCGUUCAGGAAGUGGAUUCUCGAUGCCAAACAAUUCAAGCUCUUUAGUAACGGUAUAGUGGAUUAGACUGGAUCUUAAUUAAGGUGACUGACCCCUUGAAAAAGUAGAGCAUAUACUUUUUUUAACUAAAUGUUUCAUUGCAUUCACAUUUCACACUCACAGCAUUCUUGUUUCUGAUAUACAGUCUAGUAUACAGAGUUAAAGCAUCUUAAGCUGUAAUUUGUAGUGUGCCACGGUUUUUUUUUUUUUUUUUCGUUUUUGUUUUUGUUUGCUAAUUGUAAAUUUUGUUGAGCAACAUCUGUAUAAUUGUAUUUUUUGCUAUUUAGAGAUCGAUUUUUUUUUUUUUUUUUUUUUUUUUUUUUUUUUUUUUUUUGCUAAUUGUAAAUUUUGUUGAGCAACAUCUGUAUAAUUGUAUUUUUUGCUA